AUUGAACGCUGGCGGCAGGCCUAACACAUGCAAGUCGAGCGAGCGGCGGACGGGUGUGUAAUGUCUGGGAAACUGUCUGCUGGAGGGGGAUAACAACUGGAAACGGUAGCUAAUACAGCAUACCAUCAGAUGUGCCCAGAUGGGAUGUGCUAGUAGGUGGGGUAAAGGCUCACCUAGGCGACGAUCCCUAGCUGGGCUGAGAGGACGACCAGCCACACGGGAACUGAGACACGGUCCAGACUCCUACGGGAGGCAGCAGUGGGGAAUAUUGGACAAUGGGCGCAAGCCUGAUGCAGCCAUGCCGCGUGUGUGAAGAAGGCCUUCGGGUUGUAAAGCACUUUCAGCGGGGAGGCGUUACCCGCAGAAGAAGCACCGGCUAACUCCGUGCCAGCAGCCGCGGUAAUAC
rnacentral:rRNA from 1 species